GUCAAUGUUGCUAAAAGAAUAAUCAUUGAGAACCUGUCAGGAAGCAGGUGACAGGAGCUUCUGUGGCUGUUGAGUUACAGGUGUGUCUGCAGGAAAGACUUUUCAGGCUCCUUUCCUGGUUGCUGCACACAAGCCCCGCUCCCAUGGCAGGGGUCCUCCGAGAAGGCGGAACAAACCUAUAGGAGACAGGAAGUCCCUGGAGGCAUCCAAACACAUGCACAGGAUCGGGAGUGACCUGGAGAGACAACGUGGUGAACCUGAUGAUGAAGACGAUCCUGAUGACGAAGAUAAUACUUUUGAUGAAGACGAUCUGAAUUCCCAACCUGUACCCAUUACUGAGCCUCUGAGAGAUGCUGAGGGUGUGUCUGCAGGGAGGACUUUGGUGGAUGUUGCACACAAGCCCCGCUCCCAUCGCAGGGGUGAGUAGUGUGUCCCUGCUGACCCCACAGGCUGGGACUUCGUUUUGUGAGAUCCAUUCCUGGGAAAUGGAACUCUGUUUCUCUUAAGGUCCUCCAAGAAGGAAGAAGAAACCUACAGGAGCUCGUAAGUCCCUGGACCAUUCCAAACAUCUGGAACAAAAACGGAGUGGUGUGGACAGCCAGAGUGAUGCAGCCGAGACCUCAACACAUUCUGACUACACUUGGAAAAGCAUGAUAAGAGUGGUCUGCUGGGGAACACCUUGUUUGAUUAAGUUGAUGGCCAUUGUGGCUGGUGCAGCACUGUGCCUGCUUUUGUGCUCUGCUGGAAUCUGGUAUUGCUGGACGAGAAAAUGGUGCUCCUGUGCAUGUUCAGAAGACGCACCUAAAAACAGAGGCAAUGAGAACCUGAAACUUUAUCCCAGUUCUUCACUUCUGCCCCUGUCUGCCUUGCCAUGGCUGCAUCCCCGCCAUGAGGCCAUCCCAAAACCCACCCCUCCUCAACGAGACCCUCUCCCCCUGAGUCCCCUGGUCUUGUUCCCCGGCCAGGAAUGAAGGUGGGCAGCCCUUGUCUGCCAGGGCAG